AGAGUUUGAUCCUGGCUCAGGACGAACGCUGGCGGCGUGCCUAAUACAUGCAAGUUGAGCGCUGAAGGAAGGUACUUGUGCCGACUGGAUGAGCAGCGAACGGGUGAGUAACGCGUGGGGAAUCUGCCUUUGAGCGGGGGACAACAUUUGGAAACGAAUGCUAAUACCGCAUAACAACUUUAAACACAAGUUUUAAGUUUGAAAGAUGCAACUGCAUCACUCAGAGAUGAUCCCGCGUUGUAUUAGCUAGCUGGUGAGGUAAAGGCUCACCAAGGCGAUGAUACAUAGCCGACCUGAGAGGGUGAUCGGCCACAUUGGGACUGAGACACGGCCCAAACUCCUACGGGAGGCAGCAGUAGGGAAUCUUCGGCAAUGGACGAAAGUCUGACCGAGCAACGCCGCGUGAGUGAAGAAGGUUUUCGGAUCGUAAAACUCUGUUGGUAGAGAAGAACGUUGGUGAGAGUGGAAAGCUCAUCAAGUGACGGUAACGACCCAGAAAGGGACGGCUAACUACGUGCCAG
rnacentral:rRNA from 1 species